rnacentral:rRNA from 1 species
CCGCGGUAAUUCCGGUUACUCCUACGGGAGGCAGCAGUGGGGAAUAUUGCACAAUGGGCGAAAGCCUGAUGCAGCGACGCCGCGUGAGGGACGACGGCCUUCGGGUUGUAAACCUCUUUCAGCUCCGACGCGGUAGGAGCAGAAGAAGCACCGGCCAACUAC